CCUGCCCACCCUCUGCCAUAUAUUAUGAACGCAGCCCAACGUUAACGUCGAUCAAAUUUGCAGCAAACCCGUAUAUUUGACAGCCGGCUCCCGUAUGGUUACCACGCAAGCAGGAUAUGACUUUGCUGAGAUCGCUUGUGAAGCCAGGAUGGGGAUGAAUGAAAGAUUAUUCUUCGUGUCCUUCAUCCAUACCUCUCGUUAUUACUCCACAAAAGAUUCACACAAAGAGUAGCAUAGUCUCUAAUAGGACGUGUUCAUUUGGACCCAUAAAUAAUAGAGGAGACCAUCCUAUUUACUAUGUUGGAGCUGAUUCUUGAGGGUUUCCACUUUCGCUAACGUUUACUUUUAUAAUGGUUCUUCCAGGAUUUUCCUGUGUUUUCUACUGCACUCUUUUACACACCUAAGAUCCUUGGACCCCAUAAGGCCAUAGCCAGGAGGGUCCUAUUCCUUACCACUAUACACCUGUAAAAAGAUGGGAUCCCUGUGCAAAAAUGGCGGCCAAGGAGUCAGAGAAGAGUAUUCUUCUCGUGGGUCUAGUAUGCUUGGAUAUUGUCAGCACAUGCGAUGAAUACCCCCAGGAAGAUCAAGAUAAACGUGCUUUAGAUCAACGUUGGCAGCGAGGAGGAAAUGCAGCUAAUCAGGCAGAUGUACUCGCCCAAUUAGGAAUGAAAGUUGAGUUUUUGGGUUCUUUGUCUGAUGGAAAUGGUGCAGACUUUGCGAUAAAUACUCUACAAACACGAGGGAUUUCUAUCGGUAAUUGUGUGGUACAUAAAGGAUUUGGCUUUCCUACUUCCUGCGUUACCCUAAGCCUUGCUACGGGAAGCAGAACAAUCGUACAUUAUCGUCAACGAGGGUUUCCCGAUGUCUCCUGCGAAGAUUUCAUCAGGUUAGACCUUGGAAAUUAUCACUGGGUUCACUUUGAAGCAAGAAGAGACUUUAGCGAAAUUCACAAAAUGCUUGAUCUUGUAGAUGCGUUUAACCUUUCUAGGCAACGUUCUGAUAGAAUAAGGAUAUCCAUUGAACUAGAGAAAAAGCAUGAGAAAACACUAAGUCUUCUCCACAGAGCAGAUAUAGUCAUAAUAAGCAAGGAUGUAGCAGAAUACCUUGGAUAUGAUACUGGAAGCGCUGCUGUCAAGGGGCUGUAUGGUGGAAUAAAGACUGGGGGUAUACUAGUAUGUCCUUGGGGUGCUCUAGGUGCUGAUGGGAUGGAUGCACAUGGUGAGAUGGUACAUAGCCCUGCAUAUCCCCCACAUCAACUCAAAGACACACUAGGAGCUGGUGAUACAUUCAUUGCAGGAGUCUUCAGAAGUUUGUACAAUGGAUGCCGAUUGGAAGAUGCUUUGAAGUUAGGUUGUAAACUGGCAGGUUAUAAAUGUGGCAUUGAAGGUUAUGAUGGGUUGGGUGAAGUAUGGGCUCAAAUAAAUCAAUAAACAAUAAAAUGGGCCACCACAGGUUAAAAAAAAAUGAGUAGCUCCCUACGAGAAAAAGUAAAAUUAAUCAUUGGCUGAAGCAUGGUUACGACAAUAAACAGAAAAGAAAAUUGUCCAAUAAACCCCAGACUCAUACAAAACCUAGAAGACAAAAAUUUUCUAUGAAGGUUAGUGUAUGUGUGGUUCUGGUGCUCAGAUUAAUAUUAGUAUACAAUUCGGUAUUGAUAGGUACAAUACAAGUGAUGUUUUGAAAGUUUUCAAAAUUGGAAAAGCUUUUAGGUGAGUUCAAUUUGAGAACUUUCAAACAUCAUGAGUAUCUAUAAAUUCGGAAUUGUACGAGAAGCAACUUAAUUGGGAAUCUAGAGAAUACAAUUUGGGGUUUAAUUGUACUCCUCUUGUCCAAUCAGAAUCAAGUAAUUUUGUUGAGUGUAUUAUAAAUGACGUUAAUGGUUAAAAGUAUUGUCAAGAAUUCUUAAGUCUAACCAGUUUCCUUAUCCUCAACUAGGUUCUAGCUUCAGAACGAGUGCUCAACUACCAUGAGCGAUUGACUUGAAUCAAAUUCAAUUAGCCGUAGUGUGUUAUGGUCCCAAUUGACCUCCAUACCUUGGGCAUGGUUUUCCAUUGCACACCCAUUCUAUUGAGAAUGAUUUAAUAUUUUUGUGUCUUCUCAUGAGCAACUACAAAGAAAUGGUAGUACUCAAGAGAAUAACAAGACUUGUUACUUGUUACUUGACCACUUAGUGGUCUCGAAAGGGAAGACCAUUACACACAAGCUAUUAAAAGAGGUCUAUUAGUACAAAAGGGCUCUUUAACUGCCUUUGUAAGUGGAGUUCAUAAGUGUUCAACCCCUGGAAGUUGACGACACACAAGGUACUCUAUAACACUUCCUGCAUUUGUAGGUGCCAUUGCAACAAGUUCCAUGGUCUAUUCCAUGAAGGGAUAUCCUUCUUGGAUACUUUAAUGAAUAAUAUGCACACCCAAUGUACAACCAAUAUUUUAAUAGUGAAUUAAACUUAUUAUACACUGAGUAAAACUUAAUGAAGCAUACCUUGAAGCUUUCAACUCCGCUGCCAGGGUUCUAGAUCACGAUGAAUGUUCAAUGUGAUCAAGACUCCAGUGGAGAUUGAAAGCUCAAAUUGUGUAUGUAAUAAUUUUACUGAGUUUAUCAAAAGUUUAAUUACUAUUAUUGUUAAGUGACUAAAGAAAUGUCAACCAAGAUUUUGUUUAAAACGUAAGAAAAAUAAAAGGAAUCAAAAUCACUACCAUUUAAAUUAUUUGAAGGCUUAAUCCUCAAUCUAAACUAAAUUGAAAUUAAAUAACCCAGAAAGCAGUACUGCGUGAAACAGCAAAAUGAGUUUUACAUUCACCAUGUGAUGCUAACAUGUCAGCACACAUCGAUAAGAUGAAAACAAGAUCAUAGUUUUGAAGUUUAUUGUGGUUGUUUUGGCACAUACUUUCUGUACACGUAACUUAUACAUUCCAUCUUAAGAAAUAGAGUAGAAUACAUUUCAGAAGCAGUAAUCAAUGUUCUGAUGUGUAUUCCCUGUUAGUGAACAGCUAGCUAGCAGUCCAUCUGAGUCCUGACAAACACACACUGGAGCACAAGAGCCUCUUAAAUUACUAUCAUUAAUGGGGCUGGCAAUUCUUUAUUAUUGACUAUGUUUCAAGUGUGUUUGUCUUCUUUGCCCCCUUUAGAGGCACCACAAAGACUUUUUCGUACUGAAAAAUUAAAAAGGUGAGAAUUAAUAACUCUCCUAAAGCCAAAUUGCUGUUGAGUAUAAUCAAAUUACAGUGAUGAUCAUUAGAUAGAUACACUAUGAAGUAAAUUUCAACUUUUAAUGUUUUUGGUUCCCCCACUGGAUGCUGGUGUUGGAGUUGACUUAUUUUUAUCAGAAGGGGUGGAGGAGGGGUUUCCUGCAGAGCUGUUGUUAGGUUUAAGCGAGCCUGAUGGUGGUAGGCCUAGCUUUUUUCUUCUCUCCAACUCAAGUUUAU